rnacentral:tRNA from 1 species
GCCCUGGUAGUAUAGUUCGGCCCAGUAUGCCCGGCUGUCACCCGGGCGAUCCCGGGUUCAAAUCCCGGCCAGGGCGCCA